rnacentral:piRNA from 1 species
UGACACUGGGUGAAGCCAUGCAGUGCC